GGCAUCAGGAAAGAUGGCUGAAUGUUUUCUCCAUUUUCUGAUGGCCAAAAGGAAUACAGGAACCACAGUACCUAGCACAGAACAGAAAUUCUGCUUCUUGCUGAAGAAUACAUUACCGGUGAUGAAAGACUUACUUCGCUCUUCCUUGAGUGAUGCACUGGGGAGAUUAUCUUGUAAACUGAGUGAAAGGGCUGCCAGACACCAUCUCCUAGAAAUGCCUGGAAGAGACAUGAGCUAAGAGGAAAAUAGCAAGUGUUGAAAGAGAGACCUGCCAGCCUGCAUCAAAUCAACACUCCCAACCUGGGCUCCUCACCUGACUUGGUAAGUUCAGUCUGCUGGCAAAUCAUACACCAUAAUUAACUGUCCUUAAUUCUGACAAACAUUUUAUGGGCCCACAGGGUCUGGAGAGAAAAUCAUUAGCUUCACCAACUAAUUUUCAGUUAAUCAGCAACAGUUCAUUCAACAGAGCACUAAUAGGGCAGCCUUGAUUAGAAGUAUAGGGAUAUGAUAUUAAUUGGCUUUUUCUAAUAGAGAUGAGGAUGCUAAAUAGAAAUGACCAUCUGUAGCUCUGGUAAGGAAACACUUGUAAAACACUUUUUGAAGGUAAAUGAUAAAACAAGAAUAUUUUUAAAUUUUUAAAGUCAGUCUACAAACUAUUUUGUGUUUCUUUUGUCAUUAUUUCUUUGAUUUUUUUCCCUUCAGAAACAAAAAACUUUUUUGAAAAAUAUUUUUUAAGUGACAUAUACAAAUGGUAAAGAUAUGCGCUCUUCAACCACAUCUUUUAGGUUUUGACUUGGGGACACAGUUUAGGAAUAUUGAAUAUAUGUGGUGAUAAAAUCUAUAUAUAUAUGUAUAUUUGUGUAUAUUUAUAUCCUAGCAGACCACUGAAUAAAUGGAAUUUCCUGGGCCA
rnacentral:lncRNA from 1 species